rnacentral:rRNA from 1 species
AUUGAACGCUGGCGGCAUGCCUUACACAUGCAAGUCGAACGGCAGCACGGGAGCAAUCCUGGUGGCGCGUGGCGAACGGGUGAGUAAUGUAUCGGAACGUACCUUUCAGUGGGGGAUAACGUAGCGAAAGUUACGCUAAUACCGCAUAUUCUGUGAGCAGGAAAGCAGGGGAUCGCAAGACCUUGCGCUGAUUGAGCGGCCGAUAUCAGAUUAGCUAGUUGGUGAGGUAAAGGCUCACCAAGGCGACGAUCUGUAGCGGGUCUGAGAGGAUGAUCAGCCACACUGGGACUGAGACACGGCCCAGACUCCUACGGGAGGCAGCAGUGGGGAAUAUUGGACAAUGGGCGCAAGCCUGAUCCAGCCAUGCCGCGUGAGUGAUGACGGCCCUAGGGUUGUAAAGCUCUUUCACCGGUGAAGAUAAUGACGGUAACCGGAGAAGAAGCCCCGGCUAACUUCGUGCCAGCAGCCG